UACGGGGGGAGCAAGCGUUGUUCGGAUUUACUGGGCGUAAAGGGCGCGUAGGCGGCCAGCACAAGUCAGUUGUGAAAUCUCCGAGCUUAACUCGGAAAGGUCAACUGAUACUGCGCGGCUAGAGUGCGGAAGGGGCAACUGGAAUUCUUGGUGUAGCGGUGAAAUGCGUAGAUACCAAGAGGAACACCUGCGGCGAAGGCGGGUUGCUGGGCCGACACUGACGCUGAGGCGCGAAAGCCAGGGGAGCGAACAGG
rnacentral:rRNA from 1 species